CAGUCGCCGCGGGAAUACAGAGGGUGCGAGCGUUAAUCGGAUUUACUGGGCGUAAAGCGUGCGUAGGCGGCUUUUUAAGUCGGAUGUGAAAUCCCUGAGCUUAACUUAGGAAUUGCAUUCGAUACUGGGAAGCUAGAGUAUGGGAGAGGAUGGUAGAAUUCCAGGUGUAGCGGUGAAAUGCGUAGAGAUCUGGAGGAAUACCGAUGGCGAAGGCAGCCAUCUGGCCUAAUUCUGACGCUGAGGUACGAAAGCGUGGGGAGCAAACAGGAUUAGAUACCCCGGUAGUCCCUGUCUCUUAUAC
rnacentral:rRNA from 1 species